GAAAAGGCUUGUUCAGUAUACUUUGAUAUGUACGUUUGACUCAGCAACUGCUGGAGAAAAAAGAAAGAAAAGCCUUCCUUCGUGCUCUGUAACUGAAGAAGCAACUCUGUUUUACCCCUUCUACCCCUUUUCACUCCCCCUUUCUCCCUUCAUCUGCUCAGCAGACUGUUAUAUCCAACAUCCUUCAGAAAGAGCGUGUGAUGAAAGCAGACAGUGAUACCCUGAUCCAACCUCUUUACAGCCUUCAGAACACCACCAAAGAAAACACCUGUUUACCUGGAACAGGCAGGGAGAAAGUGGUGCUGAUGCACAGAUCUGGCACGGAGACAAGCCCAUGGCUAAAUGGUCACUAUUGCUCUGAACAUUUGUGUACAGCUCUUUUCCAGCUGCAGGGACAUGCGCAUUCAUUGGGAUGUUCCAAAUUGGUGCACACCUGAGUGGUCUCUCCUGAGAGAGUACUGAAGGCUUUGUGGGUCCUUUGCAUGUGAGAUCCUGAGAGAUCUCUGCCUUUAUGUGCCUUCACCACUUGUGGGUGAUCAGAGAGAGACUCUACUUCUGCAGUGAUAUUGCUUAUUUCCAGGCACCCCUCAGGAGCCUUACUCUGAUCUCUCUUGCUUGGAGCAAGCAAGGUUCCCCUCCUUAAUGAGUCUCACAAUGGAAGCAGAUGUGGCACCUCCUCCUCAAAUUCUCAUUUUGAAAUAGAUAUGGAAACUGAUGUUUGUUAAUGACGGGGGCAAAAAUCAUCCUGAGCCUCCCCAGCUCCAAGCAGUAUUCAUGCUCAAAUUAGUAAUGUCUUUUUCCCAGUAUCCUAGAUUGGGCCACUAAUUAACUCAGCAGCCAGAGGCAAGCACGGAAGCAGCUCUAUUCUGCUCUGCACCCACCAGCUGGCAAGGUGAGAAGCCCCUCAUUCUGUGCUGCUGAGCUGCUGGAAUUGGGGAGAGCAUCAAAAGGGGAACUACUCGGAUCCCAAGCAAGGCAGACACACAGGGGGAUCAAGGCUCCCAUGAAACACAACAAGAGCUGAACUGUUACCUGGGCAGCUUUCCUGUGGCUUUUUGGGGUUGAUGGAGCUUAUAUUACUUCCCACUUGAGGGAAAACCUGUGUCGUACAGAUGUAGGAGGCGGUGUUUUCUUUCCUGUGUGUCACACACUCUUCUACUGAGCUGUGUGGUCUCAAGUGCUGUCAGCCUGUCAAAAUCAUGGCAUUGUUUCAUAGCAGAACUGUGAAAUAUCUCACUGCAGCCAUUCACCAGCCAUUUCCCCUCUUUCCUGCCCGCAGAGCUGCUCCUGAAAGGGUCUCCCCUUUCUGCCGGAGAUUAGAAGUAAAUGCUCUGCAAGCCAAGCCGAUCAUCCCACUGCGCCCGCAUCCAGGUACCGGAGCACAAGCAGUGGAAAAGUCCAUCAGGCAACAGCAAACACAGGCGCAUGCACGCACACCCCAGGCACAAAGCAAUAGGAGCAGGGGGAGGCUGGAGGCAGAGCAGAUGGGAGGGGGUGGCUCAGGGGAACCAGGCAGCGGGAGAUGCUAACGUGACAGAUGUGUUGACUUUAAGUUAAACAGGAAAUUGAGGAUGCUUGACGCAGGGAGGAAAGGCACUAGCUCACGUUAAAGGCAGAGGUUUCCCAUGGUCUUCCCCCUUUUUGCUCUCUCUCUCUCUUCUAACCAGGCUUUUCCUGGUGAUUUCUAGUUCUUACCUCACUCGCAGUCAAAGGUAUUUCCCUUCCGAAAUGGGAGGUGGGAGCACAGUCAUU
ensembl:lncRNA